UGUAAUGCCUGUUUCGCUGAAUGUGGAGGCCCUGCCGGAUAAUGGUUGGAAAUGGCAUUUUCUGUGCACUUGACCUCACCAGACCCUGUUGGGUUGGGGUGGAAGCUGAGCCGGCUUCCUAGCCAGUGUAAGUGGAAACUUACCUGGACCAAUGAAUACCUUGUGUUUGCCUUUGGCACAAAUUUACAUGGACUUAUGCUUUUGCCAUUUGGCCUACUUGAAUUAAUCCACAGAUGUCAAACCAAAUUAAAAAAUUUCCUGUAUGAUUCUUAUUAAAAAAUAUAAAAUGCUAGAUUCAGAAUGUUUGGAAAGAUCUGAGUACUCCCUAGACAGUGAGUUCCUGAGAACUUGGAGAUAUAGCCUAAAGAAAAGUGAGUCUUUCCUUCUUUCUAAGUUUUAGAAUGGCUACAAUCAAUUCUAACUGCACUUAGUUACCUGGAAAACUUGAAUUACUUGCUCCACUUUAAUUCAUGCAAAGUCUUCAACAAUUAAUUUGCCUUUUGAUUAGUAGCAUUAUUAUUAAUUUUUAGAGCCUGCCCUUAUUUACUAUUGGCUCUAUGCUUCUCUGACAUUGGGAAAAUAUAUUGACCAGAUCACAUUUAAAAACACCUCCUUGCCAAUAUAGAGAAGAAAGGAUGUAUAGGUUUCCAUUUAUGUUUUAGCAUAAGGAGUUCUAUAAAAAACAUUUUUCAGUGGUUUAAUCCAUGAGACAGAAAUGGUUGUGUACCACUUUAUGGGGGAAGGGUACAUAUCUUAAAUUGCCUAACCACUUGUUGUGGAGUAUGUGACUAUUUGCUUCCAUCUUAGGGAAAAGAUACUGUCAAAAUAAAUAAUACAGGGUAAUGUAACA
rnacentral:lncRNA from 12 species